UAGUAAUCGUGGAUCAGAAUGCCACGGUGAAUACGUUCCCGGGCCUUGUACACACCGCCCGUCACACCAUGGGAGUGGGUUGCAAAAGAAGUAGGUAGCUUAACCUUCGGGAGGGCGCUUACCACUUUGUGAUUCAUGACUGGGGUGAAGUCGUAACAAGGUAACCGUAGGGGAACCUGCGGUUGGAUCACCUCCUUACCUUAAAGAAGCGUAGGCGACGAUCCCUAGCUGGUCUGAGAGGAUGACCAGCCACACUGGAACUGAGACACGGUCCAGACUCCUACGGGAGGCAGCAGUGGGGAAUAUUGCACAAUGGGCGCAAGCCUGAUGCAGCCAUGCCGCGUGUAUGAAGAAGGCCUUCGGGUUGUAAAGUACUUUCAGCGGGGAGGAAGGGAGUAAAGUUAAUACCUUUGCUCAUUGACGUUACCCGCAGAAGAAGCACCGGCUAACUCCGUGCCAGCAGCCGCGGUAAUACGGAGGGUGCAAGCGUUAAUCGGAAUUACUGGGCGUAAAGCGCACGCAGGCGGUUUGUUAAGUCAGAUGUGAAAUCCCCGGGCUCAACCUGGGAACUGCAUCUGAUACUGGCAAGCUUGAGUCUCGUAGAGGGGGGUAGAAUUCCAGGUGUAGCGGUGAAAUGCGUAGAGAUCUGGAGGAAUACCGGUGGCGAAGGCGGCCCCCUGGACGAAGACUGACGCUCAGGUGCGAAAGCGUGGGGAGCAAACAGGAUUAGAUACCCUGGUAGUCCACGCCGUAAACGAUGUCGACUUGGAGGUUGUGCCCUUGAGGCGUGGCUUCCGGAGCUAACGCGUUAAGUCGACCGCCUGGGGAGUACGGCCGCAAGGUUAAAACUCAAAUGAAUUGACGGGGGCCCGCACAAGCGGUGGAGCAUGUGGUUUAAUUCGAUGCAACGCGAAGAACCUUACCUGGUCUUGACAUCCACGGAAGUUUUCAGAGAUGAGAAUGUGCCUUCGGGAACCGUGAGACAGGUGCUGCAUGGCUGUCGUCAGCUCGUGUUGUGAAAUGUUGGGUUAAGUCCCGCAACGAGCGCAACCCUUAUCCUUUGUUGCCAGCGGUCCGGCCGGGAACUCAAAGGAGACUGCCAGUGAUAAACUGGAGGAAGGUGGGG
rnacentral:rRNA from 1 species